UAACAUUUAUGAGUUGAUGCAUAAAAUUCAUUUUGACACAAAACAUUGUUUUUUACUUAGUAAAUGACUCUAAAUGGAUAAGGAUGAUUAUGCACUCCUAGUCACAAAAAUGCACACCUAGAUUAAGAGGAUAUCGUCCAAUGUACGCAAAUACUAAGUGUCCUGAUUUUGACAUCAAUCAAAACAUACUACUAGAAGGAAAAUGUACUCACAUACUCCCCCUUUUUUAUGAUGGCAAAACUUAACGAAGUAUUUGAUGGUUUGAAAGC
rnacentral:lncRNA from 1 species